UUAAGCGACUAAGCGUACACGGUGGAUGCCCUGGCAGUCAGAGGCGAUGAAGGACGUGCUAAUCUGCGAUAAGCGUCGGUGAGGUGAUAUGAACCGUUAUAACCGGCGAUUUCCGAAUGGGGAAACCCAGUGUGUUUCGACACACUAUCAUUAACUGAAUCCAUAGGUUAAUGAGGCGAACCGGGGGAACUGAAACAUCUAAGUACCCCGAGGAAAAGAAAUCAACCGAGAUUCCCCCAGUAGCGGCGAGCGAACGGGGAGGAGCCCAGAGCCUGAAUCAGUGUGUGUGUUAGUGGAAGCGUCUGGAAAGGCGUGCGAUACAGGGUGACAGCCCCGUACACAAAAAUGCACAUAUUGUGAGCUCGAUGAGUAGGGCGGGACACGUGGUAUCCUGUCUGAAUAUGGGGGGACCAUCCUCCAAGGCUAAAUACUCCUGACUGACCGAUAGUGAACCAGUACCGUGAGGGAAAGGCGAAAAGAACCCCGGCGAGGGGAGUGAAAAAGAACCUGAAACCGUGUACGUACAAGCAGUGGGAGCCUCUUAAUGGGGUGACUGCGUACCUUUUGUAUAAUGGGUCAGCGACUUAUAUUCUGUAGCAAGGUUAACCGAAUAGGGGAGCCGAAGGGAAACCGAGUCUUAACUGGGCGUUAAGUUGCAGGGUAUAGACCCGAAACCCGGUGAUCUAGCCAUGGGCAGGUUGAAGGUUGGGUAACACUAACUGGAGGACCGAACCGACUAAUGUUGAAAAAUUAGCGGAUGACUUGUGGCUGGGGGUGAAAGGCCAAUCAAACCGGGAGAUAGCUGGUUCUCCCCGAAAGCUAUUUAGGUAGCGCCUCGUGAAUUCAUCUCCGGGGGUAGAGCACUGUUUCGGCAAGGGGGUCAUCCCGACUUACCAACCCGAUGCAAACUGCGAAUACCGGAGAAUGUUAUCACGGGAGACACACGGCGGGUGCUAACGUCCGUCGUGAAGAGGGAAACAACCCAGACCGCCAGCUAAGGUCCCAAAGUCAUGGUUAAGUGGGAAACGAUGUGGGAAGGCCCAGACAGCCAGGAUGUUGGCUUAGAAGCAGCCAUCAUUUAAAGAAAGCGUAAUAGCUCACUGGUCGAGUCGGCCUGCGCGGAAGAUGUAACGGGGCUAAACCAUGCACCGAAGCUGCGGCAGCGACACUAUGUGUUGUUGGGUAGGGGAGCGUUCUGUAAGCCUGUGAAGGUGGCCUGUGAGGGUUGCUGGAGGUAUCAGAAGUGCGAAUGCUGACAUAAGUAACGAUAAAGCGGGUGAAAAGCCCGCUCGCCGGAAGACCAAGGGUUCCUGUCCAACGUUAAUCGGGGCAGGGUGAGUCGACCCCUAAGGCGAGGCCGAAAGGCGUAGUCGAUGGGAAACAGGUUAAUAUUCCUGUACUUGGUGUUACUGCGAAGGGGGGACGGAGAAGGCUAUGUUGGCCGGGCGACGGUUGUCCCGGUUUAAGCGUGUAGGCUGGUUUUCCAGGCAAAUCCGGAAAACCAAGGCUGAGGCGUGAUGACGAGGCACUACGGUGCUGAAGUGACAAAUGCCCUGCUUCCAGGAAAAGCCUCUAAGCAUCAGGUAACAUCAAAUCGUACCCCAAACCGACACAGGUGGUCAGGUAGAGAAUACCAAGGCGCUUGAGAGAACUCGGGUGAAGGAACUAGGCAAAAUGGUGCCGUAACUUCGGGAGAAGGCACGCUGAUAUGUAGGUGAAGCGACUUGCUCGUGGAGCUGAAAUCAGUCGAAGAUACCAGCUGGCUGCAACUGUUUAUUAAAAACACAGCACUGUGCAAACACGAAAGUGGACGUAUACGGUGUGACGCCUGCCCGGUGCCGGAAGGUUAAUUGAUGGGGUUAGCGGUAACGCGAAGCUCUUGAUCGAAGCCCCGGUAAACGGCGGCCGUAACUAUAACGGUCCUAAGGUAGCGAAAUUCCUUGUCGGGUAAGUUCCGACCUGCACGAAUGGCGUAAUGAUGGCCAGGCUGUCUCCACCCGAGACUCAGUGAAAUUGAACUCGCUGUGAAGAUGCAGUGUACCCGCGGCAAGACGGAAAGACCCCGUGAACCUUUACUAUAGCUUGACACUGAACAUUGAGCCUUGAUGUGUAGGAUAGGUGGGAGGCUUUGAAGUGUGGACGCCAGUCUGCAUGGAGCCGGCCUUGAAAUACCACCCUUUAAUGUUUGAUGUUCUAACGUGGGCCCGUUAUCCGGGUUGCGGACAGUGUCUGGUGGGUAGUUUGACUGGGGCGGUCUCCUCCUAAAGAGUAACGGAGGAGCACGAAGGUUGGCUAAUCCUGGUCGGACAUCAGGAGGUUAGUGCAAUGGCAUAAGCCAGCUUGACUGCGAGCGUGACGGCGCGAGCAGGUGCGAAAGCAGGUCAUAGUGAUCCGGUGGUUCUGAAUGGAAGGGCCAUCGCUCAACGGAUAAAAGGUACUCCGGGGAUAACAGGCUGAUACCGCCCAAGAGUUCAUAUCGACGGCGGUGUUUGGCACCUCGAUGUCGGCUCAUCACAUCCUGGGGCUGAAGUAGGUCCCAAGGGUAUGGCUGUUCGCCAUUUAAAGUGGUACGCGAGCUGGGUUUAGAACGUCGUGAGACAGUUCGGUCCCUAUCUGCCGUGGGCGCUGGAGAACUGAGGGGGGCUGCUCCUAGUACGAGAGGACCGGAGUGGACGCAUCACUGGUGUUCGGGUUGUCAUGCCAAUGGCACUGCCCGGUAGCUAAAUGCGGAAGAGAUAAGUGCUGAAAGCAUCUAAGCACGAAACUUGCCCCGAGAUGAGUUCUCCCUGACCCUUUAAGGGUCCUGAAGGAACGUUGAAGACGACGACGUUGAUAGGCCGGGUGUGUAAGCGCAGCGAUGCGUUGAGCUAACCGGUACUAAUGAACCGUGAGGCUUAACCUU
rnacentral:rRNA from 1 species